UAAGCUACAAAGAGCGUAGGGAGGAUGCCUUGGUAUAUGGCGCCGAAGAAGGACGUGACAAGCUGCGAAAAGCCGUGACGAGUUGCACAUAAACGAAUGUAAUCACGGAUGUCCGAAUGAGGGAACUCAGCGCGAGUAAUAUUGCGUUACGAUAUAAUGAAACGAUAGUUAUAUCGGGGGAACCCGGGGAACUGAAACAUCUAAUUACCCGGAGGAAAAGAAAGUAAAAACGAUUCCGAAAGUAGUGGCGAGCGAAAUCGGAAGAGCCCAAACGACAUAUAGAAAUAUGUGUCGGGUAAGGACUUGCGAGAAGUGAACGGAAGACCUAGUCGAAGAGAUUUGGAAAAGUCAGUCAAAGAGGGUAAAAGCCCCGUAGACGAAAGGUCAGUCCGACGCGAGCAAGAAUCCGGAGUACGUCGGGACACGAGGAAUCCUGACGGAAGGAAGGAGGACCAUCUCCUAAGGCUAAAUACGACCAUAUGACCGAUAGAGUAUAGUACCGUGAGGGAAAGGUGAAAAGAACCCCGGGAGGGGAGUGAAAAAGAACCUGAAACCCUAUGCUUACGAGCAGACAUAGCACUAUUAAGAGUGUGGUGUCGUACUUUUUGUAGAACGGGCCGGCGAGUUACGACGAUAUGCGAGGUUAAGAUGUAAAGCAUCGGAGCCGAAGCGAAAGCGAGUUUGAAAAGAGCGAAUAUAGUAUAUUGUCGUAGACCCGAAACCGGAUGACCUAACCAUGAGCAGGUUGAAGCAGCGGUAAAACGCUGUGGAGGACCGAACGCACGCCUGUUGAAAUAGUCGGCGAUGACUUGUGGUUAGCGGAGAAAUUCCAAUCGAAUCCGGAUAUAGCUGGUUCUCCUCGAAAUAGCUUUAGGGCUAGCCUGUAGCAAGAAUACCGCCGGUAGAGCACUGUAUGGUCUAGGGGGUUUCACGACCUACCGAAACUUAACAAACUGCGAAUGACGGAUAUUUGAUGCUAUGGAGUCAGACGGCGACAGAUAAGUGCCGUCGUCAAAAGGGAAACAGCCCAGAUCCGCAACUAAGGUCCCCAAGUACAGGUUAAGUGGAAAACGAUGUGUCAUUGCAUAAACAACCAGGACGUUGGCUUAGAAGCAGCCACGCGUUCAAAGAGUGCGUAAUAGCUCACUGGUCGAGUGAUGGUGCGCGGAAGAUUCACGGGGCUAAAACCUGACACCGAAGUUCGGGAAUACAAUUUAUUGUAUUGGUAGAGGAGCAAUCUAUACGGGCAGAAGCGAUACCGAAAGGAGUCGUGGACUGUAUAGAAGAGAGAAUGCCGGCAUAAGUAGCGAGAGAGAGGCGAGAAACCUCUCCGUCGAGAGUCUGAGGUUUCCCGGGGAAGGUUCGUCCGCCCGGGGUAAGUCGGGACCUAAGUCGAGGUCGAAAGGCGUAGAUGAUGGACAACCGGUAGAAAUUCCGGUACUGCCGAAGAUCGACUAAAUGAAGCGAUGACACAGAAGGAUAGUCAAACCGUGCGGAUGGAAAAGCGCGGCCAAGGCGAGGAGCGGGCAUAGAGUGAAGUACCUAUGUAGGAAGCUUUGCGCCGAUGGGGAAGUGAAGAAAAGUAAAUAAGUUGACGAAUCCACGCUGGCGAGAAAAGUCGCUAAAUAAGGUCGGAGGCACCCGUACCGCAAACCGACACAGGUAGACGCGAAGAAAAUUCAUAGACGAACGGGAGAACCCUUGUUAAGGAACUCGGCAAAAUGACCCCGUAACUUCGGGAGAAGGGGAGCCACCGGGAGGUGGUCGCAGUGAAGAGGUCCAAGCAACUGUUUAGCAAAAACACAGGUCUCUGCGAAAUCGAAAGAUGACGUAUAGGGGCUGACGCCUGCCCAGUGCCGGAAGGUUAAGGGGAGAUGUUAGGAGCAAUCCGAAGCGUUGAACUUAAGCCCCGGUGAACGGCGGCCGUAACUAUAACGGUCCUAAGGUAGCGAAAUUCCUUGUCGGGUAAGUUCCGACCCGCACGAAAGGCGUAAUGAUUUGGACGCUGUCUCAACAGGGGGCCCGGCGAAAUUGUAGUAUACGUGAAGAUGCGUAUUAACCCGCGACUGGACGGAAAGACCCCGUAGAGCUUUACUGUAACUUGAUAUUGAUGCACGACAAGGAAUGCACAGGAUAGGUGGGAGACUUGGAGGCAGGGACUUUGGUUUCUGCGGAGUCGGCGUUGGGAUACCACUCUUUCCUUGUUGGGCAUCUAACGGACGGCCGUGAGCCGGCGUACGGACAGUGUCAGGUGGGCAGUUUGACUGGGGCGGUCGCCUCCUAAAAUGUAACGGAGGCGCCCAAAGGUUCCCUCAGGAUGGUUGGAAAUCAUCCUACGAGUGUAAAGGCAGAAGGGAGCUUGACUGCGAGACCGGCAGGUCGGGCAGAUACGAAAGUAGGGCUUAGUGAUCCGGCGGUAGAGAAUGGAAUUGCCGUCGCUUAACGGAUAAAAGUUACCUCGGGGAUAACAGGCUGAUCUCCCCCAAGAGUUCACAUCGACGGGGAGGUUUGGCACCUCGAUGUCGGCUCGUCGCAUCCUGGGGCUG
rnacentral:rRNA from 1 species